rnacentral:rRNA from 1 species
AGAGCGAACGCUGGCGGCAGGCCUAAUACAUGCAAGUCGAACGCACCUUCGGGUGAGUGGCGGACGGGUGAGUAACACGUGGGAACGUGCCUUUUGGUUCGGAAUAAUCCGGGGAAACCUGGCCUAAUACCGAAUGUGCCCCCUCCUUUAACCAGGGGGGUGGGAAAGAUUUAUCGCCAUUAGAGCGGCCCGCGUCUGAUUAGCUAGUUGGUGAGGUAAUGGCCCACCAAGGCUACGAUCAGUAGCUGGUCUGAGAGGAUGAUCAGCCACACUGGGACUGAGACACGGCCCAGACUCCUACGGGAGGCAGCAGUAGGGAAUCUUGCGCAAUGGGCGAAAGCCUGACGCAGCCAUGCCGCGUGAAUGAUGAAGGUCUUAGGAUUGUAAAAUUCUUUCAGCGGGGAAGAUAAUGACUGUACCCGCAGAAGAAGCUCCGGCUAACUUCGUGCCAGCAGCCGC